ACUCGAGUUCACGCAGUGAACGCGUUAGAUCGCAAUUUGUGAGAUGACGACAUUCACUCCCAUCGAACGACGCCCGAAUCCCCAGUUGAUCACGUCUGUGUACAACCUGGCUGCCGGGGUCGCUCCGCAUACAAACCUCGCGAGGAAUAUUCAGCGACACUGCGAUCUGGAAUUCCAUCGCAAAUACAAUUCUCAAUGCGAGAUGCCGGACACCAAGUUCACUUAUUGGAGGAAGAACGAGAUGCGCGGCAAGCAAGUUUAUGAUCAAUACCCGUUGACUGCCUGGAGAUACGAUUUCUUGAUGCCCCGCACCCCGAUUCGACGGAAGAAACCUCAGGUCUGGUACAAGCACUACCGCAGAGGUGUUGAAAAUAUCUUCGAUCUCAGUCGUUAGUCGAGGUUUGCACCGUGACUCCUGAAGUGUACACAUGCCGAGUUCUGGAAGAAGCUCCAUGUAUGUAUGU